AUUGAACGCUGGCGGCAGGCCUAACACAUGCAAGUCGAGCGGAUGAAGGGUGCUUGCUCCUGGUUUCAGCGUCGGACGGGUGUGUAAUGCCUAGGAAUCUGCCUGGUAUUUUGGGCUAACGUCCGUACACGGGCGCUAUUACCGCAUACGUCCUGAUGUAGAAAGUUGGGGUUCUUCUGUCCUCACGCUUUCUGCUUUGCCUUGGUCGUAUUAGCUAGUUGUUUGGGUAAAGUCAUACCAAGGCGACGAUCCGUAACUGGUCUGAGAGGAUGAUCAGUCACACUGGAACUGAGACACGGUCCAGACUACUACGGGAGGCAGCAGUGGGGAAUAUUGGACAAUGGGCGAAAGCAUGAUACAGCAAAGCCGCGUGAGUGAAGAAGGUCUUCGGAUUGUAAAGCACUUUAAGUAGGGAGGAAGGGAAGUAAGUGAAAACCUUGAUGUAUUGACGGUAACAACAGAAUAAGCACCGGCUAACUACGUG
rnacentral:rRNA from 1 species